AUAUGUAUUUAUUUAUUUGAAUUUUUUUUUGUUUCUAAGUUUGUGCCUCCUCCAAAUCUUUGUUAUUUUAUAGAGGAUAUGAAAUACUUUAGAAUUGUGAAGUUUAAAAAAAUCUGAGAAAAUAGAUCAAGAGAAAAUAGAAAAUUGAAAGUAGAUCUAAAUUUUCUUGUGAAUUUUUAUAGCUUGAUUUUAAGCGAUGGAAUCUAGUGGAGCCACACUCCACUGUUGAUUGUGGUGCACAUUGUGAUGCCAAUUAGAUGUUUGAAACGACAGGACAUUUGAGAAAAAUGUAUUAUUCGCGAUCUAUUUGGACCAAGACAUUUAUAAACGAUGGCAGUGAAAAAGUUUGACUCAAGGAGAUGCCUACAGUUAACUUCUGUAAAUGCUUGAGGUUUUUCGUGUUACUGAUAAUAAUUGUGAAGAGCUCAAGGUAUUUGAGAUUCAGAAGCAAAGAAUGCUCAUCAUGUUCGAUCAUCAGUAAAGUGGAUUGUUGAAGUUCAAAUAGGAAGAUGAAGCAUAACUAAAAGCAGAAAAUUUUGCUGAAAGAUUUUGUCAAGUGAUUGCAUAGUAAAAUGGAAGGUUGUGGAUGAUUUUUGAAUAUGACUGAAGAAUUGAUAAACUAGCAGGUAAUGUAUUUUAGUAAACAUAGUCACUGCUAGUGUGUUUUACGGGAAUACAUUACCUAAAAGAAUAAGGAGAAUUAUAUAGUUAGGAAGCCUCGAAAUGGUGUCAGCUAAAAUGUUGGCAUGAAUUCUAAGUCAUUUCCAUGCAAUUAUUUCACAACUUUAUGAUUUGGAUUGAUUACCUGAAAAGCAAUUUGUACUAUCUUAUCAACUGACAAGAAAUAGGUAUUUGUUAAGAACAAAAUUUUUUGUUUCAUUUGACAAAUCUCUAAUGAAGGUUGGUAUCAUUGUUAGCAGCCUUUCAUUAGUAAAAACUGCUGCGUUUUUCCAAUCAAUCUUUUUAUGAAAUGGUAGUACCCAGCCAAUACUAGGAAUGAGAGGAAUGCAACUUGACUGUACGGCAUCAAGGAAAUGAUAGGAACCAAGAUGUAUGCCACAAGGAAUAAGGAGUUCGUUGUAUCUGAAAAAUUAGUUCAUAAUAAUGUACUUUGAUGCAAAGUAGAUGACCACAAAGAUAAACACAGUAAUUGGAUUAUGUGGUUGUCCUUUUUCAAAAAAUGGUUAUGAUCAGCUAUUAGUGUUAUAGGUUUAAACAUGCAAUAGUGUCUUAAGCUUUUAGAAUGAGCAAUGAUGUCAGUUUGUUGAAGUAAUGUGCCUGAGCCAAGUAGUAAUAAGUUCUUCUUUAGCCAAUAAAAUUUUUUUCUUUGCCGUGUAAAUAUGAAGUAAACGUGACUUAGCAAAAAUUAUCAGGUGAAAGUACCUGUAUAUUAUCAUGAUCACAAUGAUCAUCUUUAACAUCUUUCCAAUUAUGAGCAUGUUUGCAAGUUGUUAGCAUUAAAAUGUUUUUAUUAUUAAAUUAUGAAUUUGAUGAAGAGAUGUUCGAGUAUCUCUCCCAACGUUAUGGAGAUAUCUUUAGCCCUUAAAGUCUAUAUGAAUUUUUGUUGAAAGGGAAGAUUUCAGUCACCAGUUGUGUGUUAGUGGUUUUGGUUUACACUAAUUUUUUAUUAUGAUCAGGUAAAAUUGGAUAAAAUGAUUGGAAUUGGUGGAUGUUUGUUUAUAGAUGUAUUGAAACAAGCCGUUGAUUAACAAUUCAGUAAGAACUGCAAUGUAUAUGGAGUGAACUGUAUAGUCUACUGUUCAUGGAAGAAAGCUGUAUGUUAGGAAAGGGAUCACUUUUGUGAUUUCUAAAACGUACUUAGGCAGGUUCAGUUAGAUGAUGUGGAUUUUAUACUGUUGUUAAAGGAUUUAUUGUUCUCAAUUUUGAAGUAAAAUGUUGAGGUGGAUGAAAUUGUAGAAAAGUGAGAUGAAAAAGUAGAGUGUGUUUUUUGUAUUAUAUUGUAAUAGACAUAUAAUUAUGGCCCAUGUUGUUUGCAUGUGGAAAAAAUGUAACGUUAGUUCAUAUGUAAAGGAAAAGGAAAAGUAUUGAGAUCGUUUAUUAAAUACACGAGAUGUAUUGCCUACUUACAUAUUCUAUACGAUGAUAAAAAAUGUUUGCAAAAUUUGAUGAAUUUUGAUGCUAUUGACGUAUGGAACAUGUGACGAGUUUUGUCCAAUAGGAUUUGAUGUUAGUUUGAAUUAGUUUACCGUUUUUAUCACGCGCGAUUUUACAAAAAUUCUUAGGUAGGUAGGGCCGACAUACUUUUUAUCAGAAAGAUUAUGAAAAAUAUUAUAUUAUAUAGAUAAGUAUGAAGAUUUAUAGUAUAGGAGUGAGUUUACAGAUGUGUGUUUGUUUGAAAUAUUUGUGAAAAGUGGUUUCUGUAAGUCGGCAAGUUGAUAAAUGUCGAAGAGUUUGUUGUAAACGUGGGCAACGAAACCGGACAAUGUUCUGUUAUUGAAGAGGCUUAUGAAAAUGUAGGAGAUGUUUGGAGAAAACGCAAGAUGUAUUACAUAAGGGAAGAUAAGGAAGUUGGUAAAGUUGAAGAAAAAAAAUUAAUGUGUAAUGGUUUGUUUGAAUUGUAAUUGUGUAAAUGGAUGUUGAGGUAAUAGAGUUUAUUGUUUGAUGUAACGUUAAAAUAUAAGUGAACAUGAUAUAAGGAGGAUGCUUGGAUUUUUUAAACUUUGUCGUAAUGAGGAUUGAGUUGAUUGAAAACAUUUGUACAUGAAACAUUGAGAUUUGAAGAUUGAAUUAAAUAUUUGUGGAAAUCUACAUUAUGGUAUAUUGGUAACACACAUGAAAUGAGGUUAAAUUUUGUUUUAUUUUGAAUGUAUGGCACAAAUGUUUGGGAAUGAGAUUUGAGGAGUUGACUUUUGUGAUAUGUCAAUUGGCUAAUGUGUUUUGUAAGUAAGUAAGAAAAAAGAUUGUUUAGUUUAAGUUGAGAUAGUUUUAGUUUGAGUAGUGUUUUGAUCAUUGUCUUAAAGGUUUGGAAAAUGUGGAUGUUUUUUAAUUGACUUUUGACAUAGAUGAUUGUCAUAAACAUAUUUCAUGAUAGGAAAAGUGUUAGAAACAAGCGGCACAAAUUCAUUGUUUUGUGGAAGUAUUUAUUAUGAUUUACUUUCAGUUUUUGAUGAUUUGAAAAUUUUUAAAUAUUUUGUUUUGGUUGUGGUUAUCACAAAUGGGGAAAAGUGAAAUGGUUGUUUGACUUUUUGAAGGGAAAUGGAAAGAGUUUAAUGUCUAUUUAUAUAACAGUAAGGAAAAAGUUGUUUAAAAAAGAAAUUUUAUUAUUAAGUGUGUUGACUUGAAUUUAAUAAAUGUUGAGUGUAAGGGAUGUUAUAAUUAUUUAUGAUGGUAAAUGUUGUAUUGUGAUUUCAGGUGCAAGAAGUGUUUAACAAGAACCUCAUGAAAAAAUGACGAAGAAAAGUUGUAUAUAAAUGUGUUUGGUGAAAAAAUGGUUGUGGUUAUGAACAAGAUCAUGAAAAUUUGUAGUUGAGGUAAGUAUGUUUAAGUAUGGUGUAUUUUAGGGGAGGGAAGUUUUGUGGCAAGAAAUAUUUAAGGGUUUUAAGAUUGAAGAAAGUUUUGAUUAAGUAAAAUAAGGGAGAGUUAAGAAAUAAGUAAUAUGCAGGAAAUGUUAUAAUAUAUUGGGAUUAAAAUGUGGUUGAUAUAUGUUUGUGCAUGUAGUUUAUCGAAGUUAAAUUAGUCUUGAGAAGGAAUGUUGGUUUGACUGAUGCUUGAAAAAGCAUAGUGGUAGUCAUCUUAAGAGUGAAAAGUUUCAUUUUGAUUUCGAAACAUCAGUCAAGAAAAACCAUCCUUUUUGAGACUAAUAACCUGGACAAUGUACAGCUACAAACAUGUAACGAUACUCCCAGGUUCAAACCAUUUAGUUUAAGUUUUCUUUUACUAUGAUGAGUAAUGCUAAGGUUGUCAACAAAGGGAGUAUUUGGACUAAUGUCGUCUAAGGAUUGAACUAACUGGGAGGAAUAACAUGAUGUUAGGGAUAUGGGAAUGACAGUCGAUUUUAAUAUAAAUGGAAGAUAUAAAUGGCAAAAUUUGUAUGCUAGAUUUGGGUUCAAAUCAUCUAGUUUAAAAGAUUUUGAUAAGUGAACUUGUAUGUAUAUAAUGUAAAAGAUGGUAUGUUCAGUAAGUGUUUAUUGGAGUUAGAUAUUAAGAAAGGUUUGUAUACAAAAGCCGUAUUUGGAUGAAAAGAAAAGGUUUGUAUGCAGCAGAUAGAGUUGGACAAGAAGAAAUGGUUUGUAUGCAGCGGAUAGAGUUGGAAAUGAAGUAAGCAAGAACUGUUUAUGAUCAAUAAAGAGUUUAUUAAAUAUUAGAUGAAAAGUGUUUAAUUGUAAUGGUGGGAAGUAGUGGGGGUGUCGAUUUAAUUAUUUUUUAUGCUUAUGAGGGGUUGGAAAGGCAUAUAAGUUUUAUGUAAUGGGUAGUUGUCAACAUGACCUGUGUGGUCUAGUGGCUGAUGUUCCUGUGUAUGAUGCUGAUGAUGUUGGUUCAAAUCCUGGUUGGGUCAAUGAAGAUGUUGAUGUGAACCUGAUGUUGUGAUGAACCCAUGGUUAGCUGAGGCACAGUGAAGGAAGUAUC